GACGAGGGGUCCAAGCGUUGUUCGGAAUUAUUGGGCGUAAAGCGGGUGUAGGUGGCUCUAUAAGUCAGGAGUGAAAUCCCCAAGCUUAACUUGGGAAGUGCUUUUGAUACUGCAGAGCUUGAAUGUGGGAGAGGAUAAUAGAAUUCCAGGUGUAGUGGUGAAAUACGUAGAUAUCUGGAGGAACACCAGUGGCGAAGGCGGUUCUCUGGGCCUGACCUGACGCUGAGGAGCGAAAGCGUGGGGAGCGAACAGG
rnacentral:rRNA from 1 species